CCCAGAAUGGCAGUCAGAUUUAUCUUUGGAUCAAGCAGUUAUUACCCUACAUUGAAAGAUUAUAUCCUUGAAUAUUCUGUUCUUGCAAGUAUGCAUCUAGUAGCCGUUUGAACAUCUGUAUGGACUCUGAUAAAACCACUUCCUCAGGCAGAGAAUUCCACAUCCUGAUUGUUCUUACAGUAAAAAAACCUUUCCUUUGCCUUAGACGAAAUCUUCUUUCUUCCAGUC